rnacentral:rRNA from 1 species
CCUACGGGUGACAGCAGUGAGGAAUAUUGGUCAAUGGCCGGAAGGCUGAACCAGCCAUGCCGCGUGAAGGUCAGUGCCCUAUGGGCGUUAAACUUCUUUUGUGCGGGAGCAAUAAUGGUCACGUGUGGCCAGACGAGAGUACCGUACGAAUAAGCAUCGGCUAACUCCGUGCCAGCAGCCGCGGUAAUACGGGGGAUGCAAGCGUUAUCCGGAUUUAUUGGGUUUAAAGGGUGCGUAGGCUGUGAGGUAAGUCAGCGGUGAAAUGCCCCCGCUCAACGGGGUGAAGGGCCAUUGAUACUGGCUGGCUGGAAUGCGGAUGCCGUGGGAGGAAUGUGUGGUGUAGCGGUGAAAUGCAUAGAUAUCACACAGAACACCGAUUGCGAAGGCAUCUCACGAAUCCGCGAUUGACGCUGAUGCACGAAAGCGUGGGUAUCAAACAGGAUUAGAUACCCUUGUAGUC